AGAGUUUGAUCAUGGCUCAGAUUGAACGCUGGCGGCAGGCCUAACACAUGCAAGUCGAACGGUAACAGGAAGCAGCUUGCUGCUUCGCUGACGAGUGGCGGACGGGUGAGUAAUGUCUGGGAAACUGCCUGAUGGAGGGGGAUAACUACUGGAAACGGUAGCUAAUACCGCAUAAUGUCGCAAGACCAAAGAGGGGGACCUUCGGGCCUCUUGCCAUCGGAUGUGCCCAGAUGGGAUUAGCUUGUUGGUGGGGUAACGGCUCACCAAGGCGACGAUCCCUAGCUGGUCUGAGAGGAUGACCAGCCACACUGGAACUGAGACACGGUCCAGACUCCUACGGGAGGCAGCAGUGGGGAAUAUUGCACAAUGGGCGCAAGCCUGAUGCAGCCAUGCCGCGUGUAUGAAGAAGGCCUUCGGGUUGUAAAGUACUUUCAGCGGGGAGGAAGGGAGUAAAGUUAAUACCUUUGCUCAUUGACGUUAUCCGCAGAAGAAGCACCGGCUAACUCCGUGCCAGCAGCCGCGGUAAUACGGAGGGUGCAAGCGUUAAUCGGAAUUACUGGGCGUAAAGCGCACGCAGGCGGUUUGUUAAGUCAGAUGUGAAAUCCCCGGGCUCAACCUGGGAACUGCAUCUGAUACUGGCAAGCUUGAGUCUCGUAGAGGGGGGUAGAAUUCCAGGUGUAGCGGUGAAAUGCGUAGAGAUCUGGAGGAAUACCAGUGGCGAAGGCGGCCCCCUGGACGAAGACUGACGCUCAGGUGCGAAAGCGUGGGGAGCAAACAGGAUUAGAUACCCUGGUAGUCCACGCCGUAAACGAUGUCGACUUGGAGGUUGUGCCCUUGAGGCGUGGCUUCCGGAGCUAACGCGUUAAGUCGACCGCCUGGGGAGUACGGCCGCAAGGUUAAAACUCAAAUGAAUUGACGGGGGCCCGCACAAGCGGUGGAGCAUGUGGUUUAAUUCGAUGCAACGCGAAGAACCUUACCUGGUCUUGACAUCCACGGAAGUUUUCAGAGAUGAGAAUGUGCCUUCGGGAACCGUGAGACAGGUGCUGCAUGGCUGUCGUCAGCUCGUGUUGUGAAAUGUUGGGUUAAGUCCCGCAACGAGCGCAACCCUUAUCCUUUGUUGCCAGCGGUCCGGCCGGGAACUCAAAGGAGACUGCCAGUGAUAAACUGGAGGAAGGUGGGGAUGACGUCAAGUCAUCAUGGCCCUUACGACCAGGGCUACACACGUGCUACAAUGGCGCAUACAAAGAGAAGCGACCUCGCGAGAGCAAGCGGACCUCAUAAAGUGCGUCGUAGUCCGGAUUGGAGUCUGCAACUCGACUCCAUGAAGUCGGAAUCGCUAGUAAUCGUGGAUCAGAAUGCCACGGUGAAUACGUUCCCGGGCCUUGUACACACCGCCCGUCACACCAUGGGAGUGGGUUGCAAAAGAAGUAGGUAGCUUAACCUUCGGGAGGGCGCUUACCACUUUGUGAUUCAUGACUGGGGUGAAGUCGUAACAAGGUAACCGUAGGGGAACCUGCGGUUG
rnacentral:rRNA from 1 species